UCGAAACCUGCCUAGCAGAACGACCAGCGAACAUGUUUUCAUAUUGCAUGGGGAGGGGUAGCUGGUUUGCCAGUCCCUCCUCAGCGCUCGGGGGUCAAUCCCUCGGGGUUGCUCCCUAGCACUACAACAAACCCCGGCGCGUAUUCGCCAAGGAAUAUAAAUAAGAGUGUGCCUAUCCUUGCCCGGGCAUCCGGUGCAAAGAUGUGGCACCCAAACUAAGUCAUAAAAUGACUCUCGGCAACGGAUAUCUCGGCUCUCGCAUCGAUGAAGAACGUAGCGAAAUGCGAUACUUGGUGUGAAUUGCAGAAUCCCGUGAACCAUCGAGUCUUUGAACGCAAGUUGCGCCCGAAGCCUUCCGGCCAGGGCACGUCUGCCUGGGCGUCACACAUAGCGUCUCCCCCAACCCACAAGUGUGGGAGGGAGAGGAUGAUGGCCUCCCAUCCCUCACGGCGGGUGGAUGGCCUAAAUAAGGAGCCCAGGGACACGGAAUGCCGCGGCGAUUGGUGGUACGAAAGGCAUUUGCCUAGAAAGCAUCGUGCCAGGCAUCACGUGACCUAUGUGGGCUCGCAAGACCCUUACAAACCUUUGCGACCCCAGGUCAGGCGGGGUUACCCG
rnacentral:rRNA from 1 species